UCCUGCCUCUCAAACAUGGAAACCCCUUCCCCAAACAGGAGCUCUCAAAGGGGUCUCUCCCUCCUCCUCACUCUGGGGUGCAAUUCCCUCCA